CCCAUCCUCGCUAUUCUACCAGGCAACAGAGAGGAGACGAAUUGUCGAGGCAGUGGCAGGACUCGUGUGCGUCUGCACAGAGCUGCAGAUUCAAAAGUGAACAGAACAAUGCCUUUUGUCAGAAUUGCCCCCCUUGGAAGCUGGUUUCAGAUGGUGGCUUAGAGUAUUGUCAUCUAUCUAGCACCAUUUGAAAUCAGUGUUCUUGGGGUGGGAAGUGUGUUUCACUUACCAGCAACAGGCAGCUGUGAAGUGUCACAAGAGGUGUUCAGCGAUAGAGAAAGGUGAAACUAAGAGAGACUUCACCGGGAAUGUUCCCCUCCCUGAAACGCCACUCAGCGAGCCGCAAACCACCAGUGAACAGGGAUGUUUGGACAGCUCAAGCUCUUUGUCCUCUCUCCAAGGUUGACCGAUUUCUUUCGGUGUUCAGAGUCUGCUUUUGUUUCUAGCACCAUUUGAAAUCGGUUACAGUGAAGGACAGAUCUCAUCUUUCCUUGAGGAUUUUGCAACUAAGCGGAGCUCUUUAUUUGAUAGAUUGUGUGUUGAUUGUGGUGACAUUUUGUUUAAAAAGACCUCAUGAAAUCACACUCACAGUGGCUACUAAUUAGUCUCUUUGGGAAUUACCAGUGACAAGUUAGCCAUCGAUCCAUUGUCUGUCUGUUAUAUCUGAGAAGAUGUUUGCUAUGUAGAAUGAUUAAGAUCAUUUACUGAGGUAAAAUAUAUAUUAAAUAAAAAGUAACACAUAGCUUUUACUUAUAUUUGAUUAUUACAUAUUAUGUUACUGGAUUGUAUUACUAAUGAAUGAAUGUGUAGCAGUUUUAUAAUAUUGAAUUCAGUCAAUUUUGAGACAAUUUUAACUACUUUAUUAUAAUUUUGGGUAGUUUGAUCUAUAUUAAACUGUUGUGUCUAAUAAGUGAACAGCAGCUAUAUUGUCAAACAAAUGGAGUCACAAUAUCACAAUAUCUCCCCUUGAAUUCAGUGGCAUAUGAAAUAGAAUUAAAUUGAAUAGUGAUGUACUAAUUUACAGUGCAGCACUUGAGUUAAUGUAUUUUCCAUCACUGGAUAUUUGAGUUGCCAACUUCAUAAAAGCAUCACUUGGACAAUUUUCCACUUAGUGUCAAAUCCACAAGGUGGCACCAUAACACAUGAUAAUACAUUACAGGGAGGUUGUCUCUGCACCGACAGUUUCAGGCAUGUUUGGAGUAGCUGUAAAUGGUUUCCAGCUUAAUGAUUAACUCAUUGAUGAAUUGUUUUAUUUCUUUAAUGUUUUUUAAAAUAUUUGGUACUUUACUGUAAAGUUUUGUUGAUGAUUACAUUUUUAGAAUGUAUAGAGAAUUACAGUAAAUAUUGAUUUGAAUAUAGUAAGGUGCUUACAAAUGACUACUGUAUUAUGACUUAUUAAUGAAUAGCGACGCCUAUAAACUGUAUCAGAUGACUUGUCUGUAAUGUGAAUAAUAAAAUUGCAAAUUGG